AGGAACCUUCUUUCAGCCAUGGAAAGUAUGUUGCCUGUGAAUUUUUUCUUCCUAUGAUGCUGCAAGAGAACAUUCUCUAGUUUUAUUACCACAGAAUCAUGCAGUUGAAACUGAUGCAGGUUUGCUGAAACUUGAUCAUAAUGAAUGUGAGAAGAUUUAUUCAGUUAUAUAUCCUUGUGUUGAGGAUAUGAAACAAAUGAAAGACAGUCAUUCCUCCAAAGUAUCCGAGAUUGCAGAAAAUGCAGGAAAAGCAUUGACAGAUGAGUACAAGGUAAAAGCUCAGAAAACCAUCCAAGUGUAAAUGAUUUUUGCCAUUAACAGUUUAAUACUCAGUCAACUUACACAUUAUCACUAGUAGAAUAUAUAAUUUCAGAUAGUUAAAAAUUUCUCUUCGUCAUUUAGAGAAAAAUUUCCGUUAAAAAGUUCUAGCGCCACUCUUGUAUUGAGGGCUGCUGGAAUAGGCAAGAAUACCAUUUCGAUGGAAAAUAUCAUUUGGGAAUUUCCAUCGAGAUACCUGAACAUGACAUUGGUCAUCUAUUAAAAAGAUUUUAGGUUUCUUAAAUCUUAAGUAUUAUUUUACCAUUCUUCACAUCCUAUCUUCAACCAAGGCCUUUCUGCUUCCUAUGAAAUUUUAUAGACAUGAGUGUUAUACUAACAAUAUAUUCUUUUGUUCUCAAUAAUCAGGUUGAUGAACCAUCAUGCUCAACUCUGAGGAGGAAAAGAGUUAGCGUUCCAAGCAGGGAAUCUAUCAAAAAUCUCAGAACUCCUUUACUCGAGGAGUCACUCAAGUCGUUUCAAGGCAAUGGAAUAGCAAAGCGAGCUAACAGAAUGUAAAUCCAACUAGAGGGGCAUGAGGAUGUUGAGUUGAACUAAUAAUGUUCUUUUGAAGUAGGAUAACCAAUUUAGAGAUUGAUCAAUUGAUGUUUAUAUCUGUUGAUGUGUAGUGUUUUAGUAAAAGAUAAAAAAGCAUGUCAUCUUGUGAAUUUGGAGCCUCAGAAGAUCAAUGUUUCUUUAUUUUGAAGUGUUAUAGUCAUAUUAGAAUACUUUGAUUAGAAACUUCACAUAAUAUGCACCACAAAAUUACAAUAUGUAAGUAUCCAUUCCAUUAUAGUUGAAAUACUUUGGCACCCAAGGGUGUGGCCUAGUGGUCAAUGAAGUGGGUUAGAACCAUGAGGUCCCAAGUUCAACUCCCAACAGAGACAAGCCUUGGUGGAUAGAGUUACCUGAUACUUGUUUGCUAGUGGGAGGCAGCAGGUGUCCCGUGUAAUUAGUUGAGGUGCGCGUAAGUUAGUCCGGACACAACGGUUAUCAAAAAAAAAAAAUAGUUGAAAUACUUUGAGGUAAACAAGGGUCCUGGAAAUCUAGAACUGAUGUAUUACAUCUAUAAUAACAUCCUUACACAGGUUGAUGAGCCGUUUCCACCAGAAACAAAGAACAUGUUGGGCAAAAACUCACAAGUCAUAUAUGUGCACAUGCAUUAACCCAGAUAGCCACCUGAGGUCGUUUCAGUCUAAGGCCAAAGCUUCGAAGCAGUUUGAGCAACUAGUUAUAAUAUCCUUCUGUUUGCAAUGAAUUUUCUGAAGUUAGUCCGCAGUGCCCUCGUCCUACUCUUUAUGGACCAUGUGAUGUCAUAUUGGAAAUCUGUUUCUUAUGGAUGACCACGAAAAUAGGCCCAAGACGCAAUUUCUUCUAAAAUUUACGCAUUAACCACUUUCUUAGAGCAAAUAGUCCAAAGCUUCACUUACAAUUUAGUGAACCUCCAAACCACAACAACUAACUACGAGUCUAGCCAAAGAGAAGACAUCAGCUUUGAUUCCUACACCUCCAGGCAACAUAGGUGCUGCAUCUCUUAACAAACAGUAAUGAGUUGUUCAUUUGUGCUUGAGAAUACGAUGAGUAUGGCCUUCCCUUGAUGCCUUUCUGGUAUACCUAUAUAGAGGAGCAAUCACAGAUUUCCAACCAUAGGGGGCUGCAUAUGAGACAGCCCUAUCGGGUAUCAAGUAAUGGUUCUGAGAGUUCGUACAGCUCGUGAUUCGUUUAAUCUGUUGCUUAAGGUGGUACACUGCAUCAAUUCCUUAGGUGGUCUAGGAAGACUACAAAUAUUGGAAGUGUCUCUUGGCCUUUUUUUCAGUCAGUAAGCAUAGAUUCAACAAAUUUCACAAGAGUUUUGCCUGAAAGGAUGCCUCAGGAGAUGCUUCUUCCUCAACAUGGUGACCAUUUAGUGAGAAAGGAGUGGACCUACCCAUGACUAGCUUUUGCUGUGACCUUCAUACAGUGCAAGGCCCUGCUCUUACUAGUGAUGUUCUUGAUGUGAACACUCUCACAGAACUCUACUGAUCAAAUCUUGAAGUGACUCCUUGGUUUUCUAAAAUACCAAAGUCUCGAGGGAGCGGUAAAUAGCUUCCUUAAACAAGGAUUCAUUCACUCCUUAAAAGCAUUAAAGCCAUCUUACAUUUCCAGAGAUCUAAGUUCUAAAGUUUGAUUGCAAUUCCACUUUUCUCCCUGUUGCUAUCUUCAUCUCUUUCUCUAUUCCAAAUUGGCAGCCAUCUUCCUUGGUGUCUUCAGUUAAUCUGCAAUCUGAUAAUUGAACUACAACUCUAUAUGAAAUAAUGGCAACUUGUUCUUUGGAAAACAGCAGACUGCUUUGACCAUUUCACAAGAAUAUUUGCUGCUUCCCUGUUUCUCUAGUCAAGCUUGUCGCAAAUUUUUCGUAACUUCACUUUCCAGACCUCCUACUAUUUUGAAAACCAACUCAAACACCUGCAUAAGUAAAAUGUGGUUUUGUAAGGGUGCAACUCCACAAUGUGGACAUUGCAAGAAGUGUAUAUCCAUUACUCAUCUCAUCCAAAUGUUUUACUCCUAAAACUUAAAUAUGAAGGGGCAAAUAGUCAUCAUCCAGCAUCUGUAGCCACAGUUCAUCUAGCAUGGAGUAUAUUCUGUCCCUUUUUGGGUGCAUACAGUCCUCAGCCAAGAAGACAUGGAUCCGGUCCUUGACUUCAAUCCAGCUUUGACCUGGAACCUUUUUGACACCUUUUUGUCUCAUCAGACCCCUCAGUGAUGCAACAUCCUUCCAACUUCCAGUAGAAGCAAAAAUGUUACAGAGUAACACAUGCGCAGCAGAAUUCGAGGGAUCAAUCUCCAAAAUUUUCUCUGCGGCUCGUUUGCCCACAUCAAGAUUGUUACGUGUUUUGCAAGCAGCUAACAAAGUUUUCCACAUCACAAUAUCAGGAUCAAGUUCCAUUUGAUUGAUAAAAGCUUCUGCUUCUUCUAUGCAGCCAGCACGGGCAAGCAUGUCAACCACACAGCAACAAUGCUCUCUAGUCGGUACAAUACCAAACUCCGUUUCCAUGGCUCUGAACAACUGCCACCCUUCUUUGACUCGUCCAACAUGACUACAAGCAGUCAAAACACCGACGAAGGUAACUUGGUUUGGCUUGACAGCUAAAUAUCUCAUCUUCUGGAAGAGAUCUAGAGCUUCUUCUCCGUAUCCAAACUGAGCAUACCCCACUAUUAAACUGCUCCAUGAGACCGCAUCAGGGUUCUUCAUACUAUCGAAGAGCUUCCUAGAGCUUGUCAUAUUUCCACAUUUCACAUACAUGUCAAUUAAAGCAUUCAUGACGCAUAUAUCUUCACUUAGCCCAUUUUUCAUGGCAUAGCAACAAACCUGGUCUCCUACUUCCAAAGAGGCUACUUUUCCAGAAGCCCCAAGCAUAUUAACUAAUGUAAUAUGAUCAGGCUUAUUAGAAGAAAGAAGCAUCAUUUUAAAUAAUGAGAAGACUUCUCCAGACUCACUCUGUUGUAGAAAAGCGGUAAGAAUGGCGUUCCACGAGACUAAAUCUGCCUUGUUUUGUAUCUCAUUGAAUAUUUUAUAUGCAUCCGGAAGAUCUGAACAGUUGGCAUACGUUGAAAGUAAUGUAUUAGAGACGGAAAUCUCUAAAUCAAAGCCACUCUUGAUAACAUAGCAGUGCACUUGCUUUCCUAGAAACAGAGCAGAUGGACUUACAAAGGCACAAAGUAAAGAACGAACUGUGACAUCAUCUGGGGUCAACCUCAAAGUUCUCAUUUGAGAAAAGAGAGAUAUAGCUUCCUCGGGAUCACCUCCGUAUGCAAAUCCCGCAAUCAGAGCAUUCCAGGAUACAAGAUCCGGGUUUCCUAUUUGGUAGAAUGCAGUUCUUGCAGAACGCAACCAUCCACAUCUGGCAUACAUGUCAGUAACAGCACAACCAACAAAAGCAUCAAAACUGAGCCCAAAUUUUAUGCUUAAACCAUGUAUUUGUCUUCCAUAUUCUGCUUGUGCAAGACUUCUACAGGCACUAAAGACGCUUCCAAAAAUGAAUUCAUUCAGUUUGUAGAUUCCCCGACCAAGCAUCUCCCUGAAGCAAGACAGAGCUUCUAAUUCAUAGCCAAGCUGUGAAUAUCCAGCAACCAUUGAGCUCCAUGAAAUCAAAUCCUUCGAUUUAAUACGCAAGAACACUGCCAAUGCCUCAUUAAUUCGACUAAACUUUGUAUACAUCGCAAUCAAUGCAUUCUGAGCAAUAAGGUGGGAACCAGGUUCUGAUUUAAUGACAUGCCCGUGCAACAGCUUCCCUAACUCCACCUGAUUCAUAUACGAGCACGCUUUGAUUACGCUCCCAAACGUAAACUGGUCCGGUAUAAGACCACACUGUCGCAUUCGAAAGUAAAGAUCUACAGCUUCCUUCUCCUGACCGUUUUGCGAGUACCCAGCAAUUAUCGAAGUCCAAGAGACCAAAUUUCGUUCAAGCAUUUCAUCGAACAUCUUUCUAGCAUCGCUCAAUGACCCACAUUUACCAUACAUAUUCAAUAAAUGAUUUUGAAAAAUCAUGUCUGGUUGAUAAUUGGAUGAUAAUAUAUGAUUAUGAACUUUUCUUGCAUACUGCAGGGAUCUAAGAGACGAGCACGCGGAUACUAGCUGAGCAUACGUGCUUGGAUACAAACUGAAAGAUGUGUUCCUUUGUAACAACUCGAAUGUCUCUAGAGCUCGUUUAAACAACUUUUGCUUACAUAAGAAGAUUAUAUGAUCAUUACUUGACUGUUCAUUGUUGAAAGAAGUAUGUAUGCUGUGAUUGACAUAGCUCCGGAUUGAUCCUAACCUUUUCAUCAUUGUGAAAUAAUUUGAAGAAGCAAUUGGACAAUGAUCAAUCAGUCAUUCAACUACACCUCAAUCCCGACCUAGUUGCAAUCCUCUGUAUCCACUCCGCUUCAUUCGCCACUUGAUUCGAAUAUUUUCAUUCUGCAAAAGCAAAUAGAAAAUGAAAUAUAUGAACCUCACAAGACAAUUUGCUUGUUUUAGAGUGAAAAGCACUUCUAACAAGAGCCAAAAAAAAAAUUCUGCUAUAAAAUGUAUCUUUCACGUAAUGAAGAACAACUUCUGACCGCCGGAGAAGAGAUUCGACGGAGAACCAGAUACAGUUACUCCGACGUCGUUUAAAUUGGCGGGCCAAAUGUCGGGUUACUUGAUCGGACGAAAAUACCCCUGCGCUAGACUUAUAAUAAGUCCAACCUUCGUAAACGUGCUCAGCUAUCUCCAUAAACGCCCUACGCUCAGCUUUCUCCAUGCCCUACGCUCCGCUUUCUCCUCCUAUUUCACC
rnacentral:lncRNA from 1 species